GUUGUAUAGUCAAGUAAUUAAGUGCAUGUGGUGGAUGCCUUGGCAGUCAGAGGCGAUGAAAGACGUGAUAGCCUGCGAAAAGCUCCGGGGAGGCGGCAAAUAUCCUUUGAUCCGGAGAUGUCUGAAUGGGGGAACCCACCUACUUUAAGGUAGGUAUUGCAACAUGAAUACAUAGUGUUGCAAGGCGAACGAGGGGAAGUGAAACAUCUCAGUACCCUUAGGAAAAGAAAUCAAUUGAGAUUCCCUCAGUAGCGGCGAGCGAACGGGGAUCAGCCCAUUAAGUUAUGUGUGUUUUAGUGGAACGCUCUGGGAAGUGCGAACGUAGAGGGUGAUAUUCCCGUACACGAAAGGGCACACAUAAUGAUGACGAGUAGGGCGAGGCACGUGAAACCUUGUCUGAAUAUGGGGGGACCAUCCUCCAAGGCUAAAUACUCCUGACUGACCGAUAGUGAACCAGUACCGUGAGGGAAAGGCGAAAAGAACCCCUGUGAGGGGAGUGAAAUAGAUCCUGAAACCGCAUGCAUACAAGCAGUGGGAGCACCUUCGUGGUGUGACUGCGUACCUUUUGUAUAAUGGGUCAGCGACUUAUAUUCAGUAGCGAGGUUAACCGUAUAGGGGAGCCGUAGAGAAAUCGAGUCUUAAUAGGGCGUUUAGUUGCUGGGUAUAGACCCGAAACCAGGCGAUCUAUCCAUGAGCAGGUUGAAGGUUGGGUAACACUAACUGGAGGACCGAACCCACUGUCGUUGAAAAGCCAGGGGAUGACUUGUGGAUAGGGGUGAAAGGCUAAUCAAGCCUGGUGAUAGCUGGUUCUCCCCGAAAGCUAUUUAGGUAGCGCCUCGGACGAAUACCAUAGGGGGUAGAGCACUGUUUCGGCUAGGGGGUCAUCCCGACUUACCAAACCGAUGCAAACUCCGAAUACCUAUGAGUACUAUCCGGGAGACAGACUGCGGGUGCUAACGUCCGUAGUCAAGAGGAAAACAAUCCAGACCGCCAGCUAAGGCCCCAAAAUCAUAGUUAAGUGGGAAACGAUGUGGGAAGGCAUAGACAGCUAGGAGGUUGGCUUANNNNNNNNNNNNGAAGCAGCCACCCUUUAAAGAAAGCGUAAUAGCUCACUAGUCGAGUCGGCCUGCGCGGAAGAUGUAACGGGGCUAAAACUAUGUGCCGAAGCUGCGGAUGUAUACUUUGUAUACGUGGUAGGGGAGCGUUCUGUAAGCCGAUGAAGGUGUGUUGAGAAGCNNNNNNNNNNNNNNNNAUGCUGGAGGUAUCAGAAGUGCGAAUGCUGACGUGAGUAACGACAAAACGGGUGAAAAACCCGUUCGCCGAAAGACCAAGGGUUCCAGUCCAACGUUAAUCGGGGCUGGGUGAGUCGACCCCUAAGGCGAGGCCGAAAGGCGUAGUCGAUGGGAAAAUGGUUAAUAUUCCAUUACUUCUGUGUAAUGCGAUGAGAGGACGGAGAAGGCUAAAUCAGCCUGGCGUUGGUUGUCCAGGUGAAAGGAUGUAGGCAUGUAUCUUAGGCAAAUCCGGGGUACUCUAUGCUGAGAUCUGAUAGCAAGCUGUACUUGUACAGCGAAGUGGUUGAUGCCAUGCUUCCAGGAAAAGUCUCUAAGCUUCAGUUACACAGGAAUCGUACCCGAAACCGACACAGGUGGUCAGGUCGAGUAGACCAAGGCGCUUGAGAGAACUCUGCUGAAGGAACUAGGCAAAAUGGUACCGUAACUUCGGGAGAAGGUACGCUGUUGUUGGUGAUGGAACUCGCUUCCUGAGCUGACGACAGCCGCAGAAACCAGGCCGCUGCAACUGUUUAUUAAAAACAUAGCACUCUGCAAACACGAAAGUGGACGUAUAGGGUGUGAUGCCUGCCCGGUGCUGGAAGGUUAAUUGAUGGGGUUAGCGUAAGCGAAGCUCUUGAUCGAAGCCCCAGUAAACGGCGGCCGUAACUAUAACGGUCCUAAGGUAGCGAAAUUCCUUGUCGGGUAAGUUCCGACCUGCACGAAUGGCAUAAUGAUGGCGGCGCUGUCUCCAGCAGAGGCUCAGUGAAAUCGAAAUCGCUGUGAAGAUGCAGUGUACCCGCGGCUAGACGGAAAGACCCCGUGAACCUUUACUGCAGCUUGACACUGAACUUUGACCUUACUUGUGUAGGAUAGGUGGGAGGCUUUGAAGCUGGAACGCUAGUUCCAGUGGAGCCGUCCUUGAAAUACCACCCUGGUAAUGUUGAGGUUCUAACUCUGUCCCGUGAUCCGGGACGAGGACCGUGUCUGGUGGGUAGUUUGACUGGGGCGGUCUCCUCCUAAAGAGUAACGGAGGAGUACGAAGGUGCGCUCAGCGUGGUCGGAAAUCACGCGUAGAGUAUAAAGGCAAAAGCGCGCUUAACUGCGAGACCCACAAGUCGAGCAGGUACGAAAGUAGGUCUUAGUGAUCCGGUGGUUCUGUAUGGAAGGGCCAUCGCUCAACGGAUAAAAGGUACUCUGGGGAUAACAGGCUGAUACCGCCCAAGAGUUCAUAUCGACGGCGGUGUUUGGCACCUCGAUGUCGGCUCAUCUCAUCCUGGGGCUGAAGCAGGUCCCAAGGGUAUGGCUGUUCGCCAUUUAAAGAGGUACGCGAGCUGGGUUUAGAACGUCGUGAGACAGUUCGGUCCCUAUCUACCGUGGGCGCUGGAAAUUUGAGAGGAUCUGCUCCUAGUACGAGAGGACCAGAGUGGACGAACCUCUGGUGUACCGGUUGUGACGCCAGUCGCAUCGCCGGGUAGCUAUGUUCGGAAGGGAUAACCGCUGAAAGCAUCUAAGCGGGAAGCCUACCUCAAGAUAAGAUUUCCCUAGGACUUUAUGUCCUCUAAAGAGCCGUUCGAGACUAGGACGUUGAUAGGUUGGAUGUGGAAGCAUAGUGAUAUGUGAAGCUGACCAAUACUAAUUGCUCGUGAGGCUUGACUAUACAACACCCAAGCAGUUG
rnacentral:rRNA from 1 species